rnacentral:piRNA from 1 species
AAAUAAGGACUCAGAGAGAGAAG